CUUCCCACAAGAGAGCGGUGGAAGCAGAGGAAGCUGCCCACAAUAGAGCUAUGGAGGAAAAAGAAAAAGAGAGGAAGCAUGCACUGGAGAUGGAGAAGGCAAGGGCUCAGUGGAAUAUACCAACCAACCCUAGCAAUCCUUCUCCAGGUACCGCUUCCCAUCCCAGAAA